GACGAACGCUGGCGGCGUGCCUAAUACAUGCAAGUCGAGCGAAAGGAUUAAGAGCUUGCUCCUAUGAAGUUAGCGGCGGACGGGUGAGUAACACGUGGGUAACCUGCCCAUAAGACUGGGAUAACUCCGGGAAACCGGGGCUAAUACCGGAUAACAUUUUGAACCGCAUGGUUCGAAAUUGAAAGGCGGCUUCGGCUGUCACUUAUGGAUGGACCCGCGUCGCAUUAGCUAGUUGGUGAGGUAACGGCUCACCAAGGCAACGAUGCGUAGCCGACCUGAGAGGGUGAUCGGCCACACUGGGACUGAGACACGGCCCAGGCUCCUACGGGAGGCAGCAGUAGGGAAUCUUCCGCAAUGGACGAAAGUCUGACGGAGCAACGCCGCGUGAGUGAUGAAGGCUUUCGGGUCGUAAAACUCUGUUGUUAGGGAAGAACAAGUGCUAGUUGAAUAAGCUGACACCUUAACGGUACCUAACCAGAAAGCCACGGCUAACUACGUGCCAGCCGCCGCGGUAA
rnacentral:rRNA from 1 species